GACGAACGCUGGCGGCGUGCCUAAUACAUGCAAGUUGAGCGCUGAAGGUUGGUACUUGUUCCAACUGGAUGAGCAGCGAACGGGUGAGUAACGCGUGGGGAAUCUGCCUUUGAGCGGGGGACAACAUUUGGAAACGAAUGCUAAUACCGCAUAAAAACUUUAAACACAAGUUUUAAGUUUGAAAGAUGCAAUUGCAUCACUCAAAGAUGAUCCCGCGUUGUAUUAGCUAGUUGGUGAGGUAAAGGCUCACCAAGGCGAUGAUACAUAGCCGACCUGAGAGGGUGAUCGGCCACAUUGGGACUGAGACACGGCCCAAACUCCUACGGGAGGCAGCAGUAGGGAAUCUUCGGCAAUGGACGAAAGUCUGACCGAGCAACGCCGCGUGAGGGAAGAAGGUUUUCGGAUCGUAAAACUCUGUUGGUAGGGAAGAACGUUGGUGAGAGUGGAAAGCUCAUCAAGUGACGGUAACUACCCAGAAAGGGACGGCUAACUACGUG
rnacentral:rRNA from 1 species